rnacentral:sRNA from 1 species
GCUGGGUGUGCUGGUGCAUGCUUGCAAUCCCAACAACUCUGGAGGCUGAGGCAGGAGGAUCGCAAGUCCAAGGCUAUCCCAAGUAACUUAGCUAGACCCUGUCUCAA